ensembl:lncRNA
AUUUUGGUGACGUUAUUCCAGUUGUGGGGGGAGGAUAGGCGGGGCCUCCGGGAUUCAAGGCCCGCCUCCCCCUUCUCCUAUAAAUACGGCUUCACAGGCUCUUUGUGGGGCUGAGAGCUCAUUGGGAAGGGAAUCGCCACCUCUGCUUGCUAGCCUUUCCUCCGGGUGGUGGUUGGAAGAGGUGGGAGCCUGGGAGCCUGAGAUCUUUUCCUCCGAAGGGGGUGUCCCGGGACGGUGAAUCGUUCCGUUUCCCCUAGAAACUAGAGAAAACUGCUGGGCACUGGCACACUGCAGUGCCCUCUUUCCUCUUGCCCGGGGACCGUUUUUUAAAUAUACAAGGGCGUGGGUCAGCCUCCCUUAGGACUUCAUGUCUGUAUAUUUCCCCAUUCACUGCCCUGAUUAUCUGAGAUCAGCUGACAUGACUGAGGUGAUGAUGAGCACCCCUUCUAUGGAUGAGAUUGGGCUGAAUACCCGGAAGGAUGGCAUUUCUUAUCAGAUCUUCCCUGAUCCGUCAGACUUUGAUCGCUACUGCAAGCUGAAGGACCGCCUGCCUUCCAUUGUGGUGGAGCCCACAGAGGGAGAGGUGGAGAGUGGGGAGCUAAGAUGGCCCCCAGAGGAGUUCUUGGUCCAAGAAGAUGAGCAAGAAACCAGUAAAGAAACAGAGAAUGAGAAGAAGGAGCAGUAAAUCUCUUGAGAGCACCCAAAGGGGGCAAAAAAAAUACAUCUGAACUGUAUUUUUUUCCCAUCAUGGUGGAAAAUGAGUGAGCCACAGUAGUUCUGAAAAUGUCCAAUGACAGCUUCAAUUUUGCACCUGCGAGAUCACUGGGUUGGUUUUUUCUUUUUCUUUUUUUUUUUUUCUUUUUUUUUUUUUUUUUUGAUAUGUAUAUUUUUUUUUCUGAAAGAAAUGUGUCCAGCAGCUGAGUCCUCAAUGCAAAAAUUAGCAAGGCCUUCUGAGAAAGGAAGUCACUUAACUGGGGUUGGGGAAGUGUCUGCUGCUUUGAGAUCACUAUCUGAACUCUGUGUAGUAUUGAGGAGUUGUGAUAUUCCAGGGAGGGGGUUGGUAAAAGGCAAAGCAAAUAAGGACUGUUCUGAGGCAAGAAAACAAAUGAUAGAAAUAAGAGAAAAUAAAGGUUUUAAGAAGACACUGAGCAAAGACCUACAGCCAGAAAGCAAUCAAAGGGGACUAGUGCUGGCUUAAAAGUACAUCUGUAGAUAGAGUCAUCAUCUCUCCCAUUUUUUCUCUUUUCCCCUUUUGUUUCUGUUCGGAGUGAGUUUGAGUGAAUUAACAAGGGAGGAGGCAAGGGCAAAAAGAGCUGUGAGACAAGCAUAUAUAUGGGCAAGCCUUUUGAUGGCCUCCUCUCUUCUUUUUAUUCCCCUCUGUUACCCUUGAUCUCCAUGUUCCUCUGACAGAGGACCUUUCCCAGUGUGUAUCUGUUUUUUUGUUUUGUAGGUGGGGAGGGCAAGACUUUCUGGGUCCAUUUCCCAAAGUAUCCGUCCCUGUUUGUUCUUGGUGCCCUGGCAUCCCAUGUCCCUUUGAGGAGCAUGAGGAGGAUAAGAGGGCUACAGCAUGGGUCCCUUGCCUUUUUCAGGAUGAAAGGCACAGGGUAGAGUUCCUCUUUCUUCUUGUCAUUCUCAAGUCCAAGAGGGAGGUUUGGGAAUAGCUAGGUUCUCUUUCUUUAAUUAACCCUUUCUUCCAAAGCCUCUGUAGCAGUCUCUGAGCUGAAUCUUUUGCUUCCUCCCACCUGUUUCAUUCUAGCCAGUCUGACUAGCUAGGUCACUUACUAUUGGCCUUCAGCCUACUUUUCACCUUGAAUAUUUUCUCUCCUUUUUAUGAGAAGUGGAGGAGCCAGGGGAAGAGAGCUCUUUAUCUCCUGGUAUUGUUUUUAGGGGGAGCCGAGUCUUUCUUCUCAUCAUGAGGGCUGAGAUGACCUGGGACUUGAAAGGAGGAUAGGUUGGGGAAGGAGGGAAGGAGGGGGAGUGAGUGGGGUGACACGUGGUAGGUCGGGUGCCAGCAGUACUGUGACCAAGUUGGAAAUUAGAGGGUGUCAUGAGAUACCUUGCAGCCUUCCAAGUUCUGGAGAGGUAGGUAUUGUGUGGUAGAGAGGGGGGAGGCUUAUCCUGGAUUGCUCUACUCUGAGGAGGCUCCAGAAGGGAAAGAAUAUUGUAUUCAGAUCUGAGUUCUCCCCUCAAGACUCCAGAAUGCUCCCACUCCCUCCUUCUUCCUUUCAGUCUCCUUGGCCCUUCGUAUGGAAGGACACAGGGCACGGGAACAUUAGGAGCCUCCGUAGGAGCUGACUAUGGCGAGGCUUUCCACUUUGGAACCCAGAGUACAAAGAACAAAGUAUAAAAACAUUUCCAUCUUGUUGCCAGAUCCUCUGUGGCUUCCACAGAAGCACAGAGAGGCAGCAUGUGAUAAGGAAUCAGGCUUUGAAGCUUUUCUUGGGUAUAGCAAGGGAACCCAAGGCACCUGACUAUUGCCUCCCUAUUUCCAAUCAGUCCUAUUUCAGCCCCUAGUCUUGGACUUAGUGUAAUAUAUUUGUAAUUAAUACCUCAUGGGUAGUAUGGCGCUAGGGAAGGGUGUUGCUUUUAUAUAUCAGCAGGACCAGAUUCGAGGGGUAUCUCUCCCCUCUUCUUCCCUCCCAUCUCAUCCGCUUGUAUUAUAAACAUUGAUGGCAAUAACUUUUAGGUCCAUAUAGUGGCAGCAGGCCAGCAGGUAGGGGGAGGGGGAGAAGAUGACCCCAUUCCCUGCACUUUCUGCUGGUGAUCCAUGAUAGGUCUGCGCCUCUCUCUCUCUCUCUCUCUCUCUCUCUCUCUCUCUCUCUCUCUCUCUCUUUCUUUCUGUGGCAGAGAGCCAGUCAUCUCUGUUGUGUAUCCCCCACUGUAGUUUUGAGCAUCAUUCAACUUCUGUGGAGGGGAGAUUGAGGGACUCACCUAAUGACUCCUUAUCUUUUCAAAUCCCUCAGUGGGGUGGGUAUCCAGCCCCCUACCCCUCCCCAUCUGCUACCUGUUAUCAUCUGUCCCAGUCUUGCUGUGUGAUGAAAUGUGCUUUUGUACACUGCAUAACAAACCUACUUUGUGUAUGUGUGUUUGUUUAUGGCUGGUGGGUUAUUAUAUUUCUGGUCCUUAGAUCACUCUCUACCACCAUUUGGAAUUCUGAGCAGGAAAGGGGCCAACAGCCAGCAUAGACCAGGAUCUUCAGAAGGCUCAGGCCCAUUGGGUUGAUCCCAUCUACCCUUGGAGAGACUAUGCUCUUUAUCUGGCUUCUGUGUUGUUGUGGGUUUUCAUUUGUUGUUAUUGUUGUUGUUGUUGUUGUUCCCCCCUCCCCUUUUAGAAGUAAUUGUGUGUAUUUCUAACUGAAUGUAUCAAAAAAAAAAAAAAACUUCAGUAAAAAUACCUGUUGUUUGAUGAACUUUCUGUAACUUCUGUCUGUUCUUUUUUGAGGCUCAGGGAGAAACUAGCAUUUUUUUUUUCCAAAACUACUUUUUGUCACUGUGACAGUUGUAAAUAAAGUUUGAAAAUGCUUUCCACUUUGGCCUGGUUUCCUUCUUUCCUUAAUGAGAAGGAACAAAAUA